CAGUCGAACGAACUCUGGUAUUGAUUGGUGCUUGCAUCAUGAUUUACAUUUGAGUGAGUGGCGAACUGGUGAGUAACACGUGGGAAACCUGCCCAGAAGCGGGGGAUAACACCUGGAAACAGAUGCUAAUACCGCAUAACAACUUGGACCGCAUGGUCCGAGUUUGAAAGAUGGCUUCGGCUAUCACUUUUGGAUGGUCCCGCGGCGUAUUAGCUAGAUGGUGGGGUAACGGCUCACCAUGGCAAUGAUACGUAGCCGACCUGAGAGGGUAAUCGGCCACAUUGGGACUGAGACACGGCCCAAACUCCUACGGGAGGCAGCAGUAGGGAAUCUUCCACAAUGGACGAAAGUCUGAUGGAGCAACGCCGCGUGAGUGAAGAAGGGUUUCGGCUCGUAAAACUCUGUUGUUAAAGAAGAACAUAUCUGAGAGUAACUGUUCAGGUAUUGACGGUAUUUAACCAGAAAGCCACGGCUAACUACGUGCCAGCAGCCGCGGUAAUACGUAGGUGGCAAGCGUUGUCCGGAUUUAUUGGGCGUAAAGCGAGCGCAGGCGGUUUUUUAAGUCUGAUGUGAAAGCCUUCGGCUCAACCGAAGAAGUGCAUCGGAAACUGGGAAACUUGAGUGCAGAAGAGGACAGUGGAACUCCAUGUGUAGCGGUGAAAUGCGUAGAUAUAUGGAAGAACACCAGUGGCGAAGGC
rnacentral:rRNA from 2 species